CCAGGCUUUGGCAAUGACAUUCCGACAGGUGUGGUUCUCUAACCAAUAUGCUUCAAAUUUGAAGGUCUUGCCAGCACGAGGUUUUCUAACUUCAGUAUUUAGCACCAGGGGACUAUGAUCCGAUCCAACUGCAGGUAAAGCGAAGACUUCAGCCUCUGGAAAUAAGAUUCUCCAAUUCCAGGUACAAAGAACUCGGUCUAAUCUUUCUUUCACCAGCUCAUCCCCCUCACGUUGAUUCGUCCAGGUAAACGCGCAGCCCUUGCUUUCAAUUUCCAGCAAUGCACAAUCAUGUAGGACUUCUCGAAAUGAAUGCAUACGAGAAAAGUCAG
rnacentral:lncRNA from 1 species